CAGUGUGCCCUCGCAGCUUCUGGAUCCCCUGUUGACUCUUGACAGCAGUUGGGUAGAUGCAGCAGUGGCCACAGCUUCGUGCUGCUGCCUGGUGUAUUCCCUCAGCUACCUGGAGCUGAUCUUCAGCUGGGUGUUGCUGGCACUUGGGCUUCUCGCCUAGUGCUGCUGGAGUCGCAUCGUCAAGCAGGUCUUGCGAACACUCCAGAGCAUUAUUGUGCUGCAUCUGCUGGGCAGCCAUAGCACCCUAGCAAAUGAAUCAAGCAGCACAAAAGGUCAAUAAUAUGGAAUUUUGUUGAGUCACAGACUAAUGUGAUUUGAUCAAAGAAGACCCUCCUGAAACAAAGGCCCAGAUGGUUCAACAUCCAUGAUGGCUUCAGGACUGCUGGCUGAGAUGGACCUAUCACACAGGAUACCCCCAAUAAAUAAUAGUACCCCCAAUAAACAGGA